GUGCUUGCUUCAGCAGCACAUAUACUAAAACUAGAAUGAUACAGAGAUUAGCAUGGCCCUUGCACAAGAAUGACACGCAGGGCCCGGAGAGAUAGCACAGCGGC